AAUUUUUAAAAAGGCGCUGAAAGUUAUUAGAAUAAGAUAGAGAAAUAAAAAAGACGAAAGAACCGUAAGCACUACAAAACCACAAAAUGUAUUUUAUUUAAAGCUGAUAAGAAAAUGCAAUCGAUGUUUCCACGUUUUACCACAGCAAUAAUUUUAGGUUAUAUUGACGAAAUUAGUUUGGACUACGUAAACAUGUGAGGUCCUGCAUAUUACACUGUCACUAACUACUCUAGUCAUUAAAUAUAUUAAAUUUCCUAACUCAGCAUACUUCAAUCAGUUAAAAACUGCUCAAUUCAUAUCAUACCCUGUGCCUUUGCUAGCGCCAUUCUGGAGGAUUUUUGAACUACUAUUUAGUGCUGAAAGUGGGACACUUUUUCAAGCUUCUCCCAUAUGAGACGGUUUUCCUUACCUCUAUCCUCCAUAGUUGCCGCAUCGACAGGCAGACUAUAGUAUAAUCUAUACAGCCACAUUCCACACUUUCCAUAUUCAUACUAUACUAAAUAUUAUAAGUGUAAAUUAUAUAUUUUUUGGUUUAUCCUUCUUGUACGUCGAAACUAGGCAACGGAUUAACAUGAUUUCUUUUAAUUCAUAUGGUAUUAGAUCAGAAGAUUGACAUAGGCUACCUUUUAUCCGGAAAAAACAUGUCGUUUCCACGGGAAACUACGCUGGCAUUUUUCUUUGUCCAUGCGGGCGAAGUUAUGCUUUACUCCAGCUCAGCGAUAUCGAUCCAAGAACGUUAAUGAAGAAAGUGAAAUCGAAUAUUCACGUUUAUCGAAAUAAAUCCGCUUACGAGAAGAUAUCGAGUCACCUUGAGAAGCUGACCAUAUGAACUGUUUAGAUAGUUCUAGUCAAUUUUCUUGUUCGUUUAGGUUAUAAUUCUUUAGUUUGACAAAAAAUAUUUUUUAUAUACAUAAAUGAUUUUGCAGGCAAUUCUGUAAGAGACGCGUUCAGACAAUGUAAUACGAAGACUUUGUUCAAUAAAAAAUUACUCUUAUCUAUAUA